rnacentral:rRNA from 1 species
GACGAACGCUGGCGGCGUGCUUAACACAUGCAAGUCGAACGCAGGGGCGAACGGGUGAGUAACGCGUAAUCAACCUGCCCUUCGGAGGAGAACCACAGUUGGAAACGACUGCUAAUGCCGCAUACGGCAGGAGGGGAUUGAGUCUGAUUAGCUAGUUGGAGGGGUAACGGCCCACCAAGGCGAUGAUCAGUAGCCGGGCUGGGAGGAUGAACGGCCACAGUGGGAAUGAGAGUCGGCCCAGACUCCUACGGGAGGCAGCAGUUGGGAAUCUUCCGAAAUGGACGAAAGCCUGACGGAGCAACGCCGCGGUAGUGAUGGCUGCUUUCGGGGUGUAAAGUUCUGUUUAUCGGGCCGCGGUACCGGAAGAGAAAGCCACGGCUAACUACGUGCCAGCAGCCGCGGUAAUUC